rnacentral:rRNA from 1 species
UACGUAGGGUCCGAGCGUUGUCCGGAAUUACUGGGCGUAAAGAGCUCGUAGGUGGUUUGUCGCGUUGUUCGUGAAAACUCACAGCUUAACUGUGGGCGUGCGGGCGAUACGGGCAGACUUGAGUACUGCAGGGGAGACUGGAAUUCCUGGUGUAGCGGUGGAAUGCGCAGAUAUCAGGAGGAACACCGGUGGCGAAGGCGGGUCUCGUGGGCAGUAACUGACGCUGAGGAGCGAAAGCGUGGGGAGCGAACAGG